rnacentral:lncRNA from 1 species
UUAAGCUCCUCCGGAGGCUGCCGGGAGCCACGGGGGAGUUUCUGCGGUUCUGUAUGGCAGACGGAGUGAGUUCUGUUUCUUUGUCGGGCCCUGGUGCUGCUGAGGCUGAGAAGCGGCUGCUGUGAGCCCUUUUGCGGUAAGGACCAGCCCAAACAGGUGAGCGGUUCGGGUAGUAAGGGGACGGUGAGCGCUCAGGAGCCGCCAGGAUCUCCGGAGCUGGCGGCUGUCGGACCCCGCUCUUCUCGGGGCCGGCGUUAGGUCGCCGCCGGGCUCCCCCGGCUGUGCGGAGCCGAUACGGCGCCGCCGCCGCCGCCCGGCUGCCGUCGCGUUUUCGGAGGCGGCUGCCGCUCCGAUCCCCGAGUCCUCGCACAGCCCCGGGGUGCUCUCAGCCCCCCUCACCCUCGGGAUUUCUUUCAGCGGGUGCUUCAGUUCUUCAGGCUCUCCUCGGUAGGAGCGAACGCGGUGGGGCCGUAUUCGUGCAGCCUCUGUGCUGCCGGGAGAGAGAAGCGAGGCCAAGGGCUGCUGAAACAAAAGGUUUCUCGUGUUGCAGGCUGAGCGAGGGCUGUAGCAGAGCCUCUCAUCGCUCCGAAGCAGGCAGCUCGUGGAAGCGGGGAGUGUUUGAGAGUCGCUCGGUAAGAUCUCCCCUGCUGGGGCUCCUGUAGGGUUGCUGCCCGACUGCCUCCGUAUCUUUGGGAUCGGCACGGCGCCGCCGCUGGGGGCUCCCGUGUGGCUUUUUAGUAGGACCGGCACGGGGCCUCCGCCCGAGACCGAGCACGAUCCCGGGGUGGCCUCGGCCACUGCGGAGUGUUUUGCGGGUGCUCUCACCCAUCCCGUUUCCAGCGGUGGGAGCGAGCAGGUUGGGACCGUGGUUUUAUUUUUUUUUUUUUUUCCCCGCCUCUUCCUUCCCGUGUAACUGCAGGAGCACGAUUUAGGUUCCCACCGUGGAGACCUGGCAGGGCAGCUCGCACGACUGGAGUGCUGUCGUGGAUGGCUCUGUUCCUUUUAGGAAAGGCAGACCGGUCAGGCGGUGGAGUCUCUUUUCGAGGGAGAGAACGGGAACGUAUCGAGCUCCACCUAGGGAUGACUGAAGAACCAGCGGAGCGUUUGUGCGUGAGGCUGAAGAGGCAGCUGGAAAUGGUGCCCACAGCUGUGAGGCUAGUUCUCAUGGUAGGCUCCAGGAGUUUCCUGCAAUGUGUCAAAGGUAAGAUCUUCUGACACAGGUGACGAAGGAGGCAUUGAGGAGCUCCCUAUUGCAGAAGAGCCAUCUGGGGACAGGAAGGCCAGGGGCAGCCUGGAGCGUGCCAGUCGUGAGACCACAGCGUUUGGGAUCUUGUGUGGAAGCUGCAAAGCAAUGAGUAGGAUUGAAACACUGGACUUAGAGGGAGCCAGGUUUGUCCUCUUGAAGGGCCUACUUGGAGGUAACCCUUGCUCAAGCAUAGGAAGGGGUCCUGUGAAUGCUGGAGCAUUACUUUGUCCAUGCUGAGGUGCGCUGCGUCCCAAGGAGGAAGGAAGUGCGCAGGAAUGGUGGGGGACCUGCAGGGCUGACUGAGGAACUUGAAGGGGAGAAGGAAGAGAGAGGCUGAGGAAGGCCAAGUCCCUCUGAGUAUCAGCUUUGGGAGGGAGGUCAAGGCUAAUGGAAGUUUGUCAACAGGAGAGACUGGAGAAAUUGCAGGCCUGUGCUUCACAAGGCAAGGGCCUGAGUAAUGGAGGAUGGAGGACAUGCUGGAUGCCUGUUUUGGUUUCAGUGGUUUCUGCUGAGAGUGCUCCUGGGGUCCUGGAGGAGAGAGUCUCAGAGGAAGGCUGCCUUCCCCUCAGUUGCAGAGGAGCUGGUCAAAAGUGGUUCAGGCAGAAAGGAGGCCAGCAAAUGCCUGAGCUGUAGAGGGCUAUGCCUGUGCCCGCUGAGAGCUGGCAGCGGUGACCGGCAAAUGGCGCUCUCUGUCACUUUUCCCUGCUGUUUCCUGUGGGGAAAGGUACCUGAAGACUGGAGGAUGGCGGAUGCCACCGCAGCCUUCAGAAAGGGUGUGGAGGAUGGCGUGUGCAACUUGGAGGUAGGUUGGCCUCACCUCUGUUCCUGGGGAGGUGACGUAACAGCUUGUUGCAGGUGUCAUUGCCAUGUGACCGGAAGAGAAGGAAUUUGCAAGGAGCAGUCCAGGUGGAUGGACAGAGGGGAAGUCAUGCCGGACCAAAAGGGCGAGGGCUGCAGCGGAGAGCUUUGCCGAGAGGAUUGGCUGGAGCAGGUGUGCGGUUUCCCCAGCAGUGGGAUGAAGGAGGUGAGAGAGGGGGACCCCCAGGCGCGCCCCCUUGGAGGUGGUUUGUGGAGGUCUCCGUGCAGGUUCAGGCCGGAGGCAGGAUCCUGGUGGUGUGAGCGGGGUGCCCCUGUGGAGCAAGGGUGGAAGGUGCGUGGCAGGCCCUGUCCCGGAGGAGUGGAGUUGAUGGAGCGUGGCCCUUUGAUGCUGGAGUGAGGGGUCCUGGUGGGGCUGAAGUCCUGCGUGGAAGAGGGAGAUCCCAGGCGCUGCGAUGCGGAGGAGGAGCGGAGCCAGCGGUGGCUCCUGUGUGGUGAUGGCUGCUUAGUGGUGGUGUUCCUGGUCCUGGGCUGAAAGGAGGAGGAGGAGAAAGCUUUUAGUGCCUUACUUCAAAGCUCAGGCUUGGAUGACCUUGCUGAGGCUGAACAAGAGUACAAAACCUGUGAGUUAAAUGGGUGGAACAAAACUACAGCUGCUGCACCUUACCGGGCCGAGAGUCGUGACCUGAUCUUCCAUCUUUUACACAAAACGAGUCAGAUCUUCAGCUUGCUGCCACGAGUAACUCACACAUUCUCCAAUUCCUCGUAUGGAAAGAAGGUUUUCUUCUAAGGGAUUAUUCCAAUGCGUAAAAUCGGUGAAUUCACCUGUACAGUAAUGAAAUACUUUCAAUAAUUUCAUGCAAAACUUUCUUUAAGCAGUGCCUUGGGUCAGUCUUUCCAUGUGAGAGCUGCAUCAGUAAAAGUUCUCCUUUCGGUCCAUUUCUGACUUAUUUUUUAUAAUUUAGUUUAAAAGUUCAAGUCAUCCAACCAAAGCUGUGACAACAGGAAUAACAGGCUCGUGGUAUAACAGCAGUAGGAUUUAGGCACCUGUGGAGGGAGAAACACUGAAGAUUUCACCGUGGGUUCAGGGUGGGCCAAACAUUAAAAUCCCUUUCUUGGUUUAAGAUCAGAAUGCACCUUCGUGGGAUUCAUUUCUUCCUUACAUCUCAGUAACCAAGUAUGCAUUGAGUGACCUACACCUUUAAGGGGGAAAAUGGUCUCAGUCAAGCGCUGGAUGAAUAUAAAUAGUAAUAAUAAAAGCCUAUCAGUAAGGAAAAGCUGAGCAUUCUUUUUGAAUGCAAACAUAAUAAUUAAUAAUAAUCAUAAUCAUAAUCUGUGGCACAGGACCCAAAGAGACCUUUUCCUCACAGUUUCACACAGCAGUUCUCUCAUCAGCUCUGAAACCAUCUACCUCUGCAACUCAGAAAGCUUUCUUUUUUUCUUUUCCUGAAAGUUCAAGGAUACGUUAUCCAUUUUCUGGGCAAGUUUAGAACUUUGGGUCUCACUUCUGCAUACACGGAAUCUUCUCUAAAGUCACUAAGACAGAACAAAACCCGAGACCCUCUUUGGACUGCAAAUCCAGAAGCAUUCGACCCUGCGGUUCUGCCAAGCAGUGUGAAACACCGUAUUUGUAUCCGCCUCACGCAGCUCCCGCCCGAGUUUUUUCUCCGCGCUGAGCAUCAGUCUGCAGUCCUCGGUAAUUCCGGUAGAGGGCAAUACAAUAAAGCCAUUCAUAGAGGGCUCUCCGAGGCAGCUGCCGUAACUGGCUCCCACAGAACGCCUCAGGCUUUCUUCUUGUUCUGGAUUGGUGUGCUAAUGCCAAAUAUUUACAAUUGAAUCUUUUUUUGAUCCCGGGAACGCUCAUACUGCUUAUUUCUUCUUUGACAGCACAAACGCACGGGCGCGUUCUCAGUGCCUGAAAACAUCUCUAUGCAAAAAUCAAGAUAUAACUCUCUUUGCUACCACUUUUUUUUUUUGUCUCAUCCUCAGCCAUCCGUUUGAAUGUAAACGUUACAGUAUACCUCACAUCCGUAAGGAGUCUUUACAUUCAGGUGUAGUUUUAAAAAGUCUCAUAGGAACCUCUUGCAGUCGAUUAAUGGGCACAUCGGAAGCAAAUCAACUGGAAGUACGGGAUGAGUGUUAUUUAAUUCUCCCUAGGGCUUUGCUAUUCACACACUCCUCUGUGCAGGUAGAUAUUCACGUGCGUAUGAAAGGAAAACUCACCUUCAAGGCGUAACAAAGGGAAACCCGCACUGGGAUCAUUCGUAGGAAAGCAUCAUUUCACAGUACAUAGGUUUAUGGAUUGUGAGAGAUAGUGAUGCAUUUGUAAGGAUGAUCCCUACGAUAAGGUUCUGUGGUUUUAUUUUCUCAAGUCUAGACGUAUUUAGUCAAUAAUGAUUUCUUCAAAAGAUAGCCACAUCUCCAAGACAAGAACAGAACGGCCACGUGGCAGAUUUCACACAACCUCACAACAGUACCAUGAACUAUACGGGAGUUUCAUAAUUCAUGAAGGAACAAUAUUCCCUCCCGGGCACUAAAACUAGUCCAGAUAACACCAAGAACAGCUGAAAAGCCGGACAGUGUGAUUUCCCCUCUCCUCAAGUAUAGAGAGACACAAGUAUGAAACAGCUGGAAAACAUAUUCAAAGGAUGACAGGCACCACGUCACAGCAGAAGUGCCAGGUAAGCUCAGCGCAAAACAGUCCCUUUACUUCUUUCAUUCUUUCUUUCAUUUGUGACCAGAUUCAUGAGUGGAUGGAAAUGCUUGACAAAGUGAUAAUGAAUCUCUCUGAACGUUUACAUGGUUCCCAUCAGUGCAAAGACUCACCCAGUGCUAAAAGUAAUUCACUACAGUGUGUAAAAAAAAUAAACAAAUCAUUCUCC